rnacentral:lncRNA from 1 species
AUGAGGAGGACUCAGGGGGAAGCAAGGCAGGGACGGCACCGCGAGGAAUCCCGGGGACAGCGCCGGGUGCUCACCGGUGAAGUCCUCGUGGCACUCGCAGGUGUAGCCGCCCUCGCGGCUCCGGCAGCGCCCGUUGCUGCCGCAGGGGCUGGAGAAGCAGAGGUCCACCUCGGUCUCGCAGUAGUCGCCGGUGAAGCCGGGCGGGCAGCGGCAGCGCAGGCCGGUGACGGGGUGGAUGGGGCGGAAGAGGACGGUGUCGGAGGCCAGGAAGGGCGCCGAGCUGUCGAACUUGAGGACGGAGACGCAGCGCAUGUAGUUCUCGCAGGGCUCGCGCAGGCAGAUGUUGUCGUCGAAGGGCAGCACGCGCUGCGCCGAGAUGGCGGCCAGCAGCGAGCGGUUGAGGUACAGCCGCUCCUGCAGCUCCUCCGAGGAGAAGAAGCGGGCGCCGCGCGCCGAGGCCGGCAGCCGCACCGAGAGGCUGACGUUGAGGAUGCGGGCGGCCCCCACGUCCGUGUCCGUCUGGAUGUUGAAGAGCACGACGCGGUGGCGGGGGGCCGCCAGCACCGCCGCCACCCCCUCCAGGAAGAGGCUGAGCAGGGGCGAGAGGAAGCGCUCCUGGGACAUGUCGGCCAGCCGCAGCGUGAUGCUGUUGCUCAGCAUCUCGUCCGUGAUCACCGUCACCCGCAGCGUGCACUGCGCCGUGGCGCUGUGGACCCCAUCUGCGGGCAGGACAAUGGCCGCGGUCACCGCGGUGGCACCCAGUGGGGAUGGCCGUGGGGCGACCACCCAACCGCUGGUGUUCACCACGGUGGCACCCGGUGGGGAUGGUCACGGGUUGACCACCCACCUCCCUGUGGUAGCCACGGUGGCACCCAACGGGGACGGCCAUGGGGCAAACACCUGAGGUGUGGUGGUCACUGCGGUGGCACCCGGUGGGGAUGGUCACGGGGCGACCACCCAGCCCCUCAUGGUCACUGCGGUGGCACCCAUUGGGCCUGGUCAUGGGGUGAGCAGCCACCCCUUGUGCCCUCCACGGUGGCACCUGAUGGGGAUGGCCAUGAGGCACCAACCCAACCGGUCCCACCCUGGGGUCGGUGCCUGCGGUGCCUCCUCCUCCGCCUCCUCCUCCUUGCUGGGGUGGCAGAGGGACAGACGGACAGACGGAGGAUGGGCAGAGCACCGGCAGAUGGACGGAUGGAUGGAAGCAGCCCUGGGACAGCUCGGGGACGUGGGGACUGCGGGUGGCACUGGACAGGGGGCCGUGGGCUCAGGGAACGGUGA